rnacentral:ncRNA from 1 species
GGCUGCACAACUGGCGGAAGACGGCGUAAGCUGUUGUGGGAAUACCCACAGGGAGUGUAGUAAUAAAAGAGUGCCGACCGCCUGGGCGAA